GCACUCCAGUCUGGGUAACAAGAGCGAAACUCCAUCUCAAAAAAACAAAAAACAUAUAGAGCAAAAAGGGUAGGAUGAAUAUCUGGGGAUACGGGAUGGAUUUAGUAAGUAGCGGUACUCCCUUGAAAAUUUCUGAGCAGGGAAUGACAUGAUUUGAGAGACACAUUUCAGGAAAAUUAGCAGUGAUGUUGGGUGGGUUGGCAGUGAGAACAUCAGGGUAUUAUUUUGCUAAUCUGAGCAAGAUCAAUAUAUCAGGUGAACCAGAGCUCAGAUAGUAGCAUGCAAAUUCAGAGAAAGAGAUGGGGAGGACAGGCAUAGUAAAAGCUGAAUCUAUACAUCUUGGCUAUUGCAUAACUGAUGGGAGGACCUGGAGAGGGAGAAACCAGAAGUGACCUCCAAGCUUUGGUGUAUCAGUGACAAAAAGACGGUGGACAUGCCUGCUGAAAGAAGGCUGGCCAGAGAAACAGCAGCUUUGAGGCAAAAUAUACUCAACCUGUUAUUUAAACCGCAUUUUAUUUUUCAUGAACUAGACUUUUUAGAACUAGGAUUUAGAGUUUCUAAUCAAAGUAUAUCUAUUCACAUUCAAUUUUGGAAAGCUUAAAACAUUGAUAAAGUUCCACACUUUCAAAAUAGAAAACAUAAGCAACAGAAUUGCAUUUCCUGAUAAGCACAAUUAUCCUAGAGACAGAAGUUGAAAGAGCAGCUGAGAGUCACCUAGCAAGUCAUUAAACAACUGGUUUGCACAUAUUCAUAGUUCCUACCCCAGGGCCAGCUUCAAACCAUAGGCCAGAUUCAAACCAUAUUUCCUACCCCAGGGCCAGCUUCAAACCCUGUUAGGGUGGAGAAACUGUUUGCAAAGGCAACAUGGCAUUUUCAGGUAAAACUUCUAUCCUCUUCUCCCUUCGGUUACAUAAUCAAUAAGCUGCCUAUGCCCUCAUCCACUGCCAAGUUGUAGGUUGUUCAGAUUUCUACUGGACCAUGAAGUCAAAAGCCAAGCCUUCUCUUACUAUAGACUGUUUCCAGGGUUUUCCAUCAUUGAAUGGAAAUGGCUGCCUGGUUUAAUAGCAGGAUGGAAUAUUUGCAGUGGAGAGACACAGCAUUAAAACAUGUGAGCAUGGCAUGGACUGGAGAGAUCUGGAGAGAAAAGAAAACAGAUAGGACCCAGGGAGGCAGCUUUUCAGCAGAAGACUGGCACAUACAAAAGUAAAGAUACUGAAGUUAUUCAUGUAGCCCCUAACAUGGCAUUUUCAAGUCAGGAUGAAGCUUUUUUGUAAAGCUCAUUUGUAAAAAAUACUAAAUUGAAGGAUAAGUUUGAUAAGAACUGUAGGGGUUUACUAUUUAUUCUCACAUUAAGAAUUUAUAAAACUUGAAACAAUCAAAGAAAGACCUACUUUUUGUUUAUUGGUGACACACCAGAUUGAGGUUUGUAAUCCUGCUUAUAUCCCUAGGCACAUGCCUGUGAGUUUCUGUCUGUAGGUGCACAGGGUCAGGCUCUCCCACGUAACUGCCUUCUUCGCUAGAGACUACCAGCUGAAGUUGGCAAUUACCAAGACUUUCCUCUUUGUCUCCAUAAGAGACACAUUCCAGUAAUAAGGCCUAACUAGCACCUUAAAAAUCUGAUUCAGUGCGUCUACUUGAACAAAAUUUCUAAUUUCAGCAGUAGCUACUUCUUUGUAGCCUUCAUUUACCCUGGCUUCCAGAAAGAAGUUGCAUAGGAACACAUGACCUCAUUCUAGAGCAUUUGACUUAUUCAAUUCACAGAAUUUUAUGGAGGACAUACAAUAAGCAGGCCCUGUGUUAUUGUAUGAUCCUGGGAAAUGAGAGAUGGCAAAACAGGCCCUUACACCAAGGACUAUCCAGCAUCUAAGGAUCUCCCAGUCCAGUGGGAAAAGAGAGGAUAAUGAGUUGGAAUAUUGUAAAAGUACUAGGACUACAUCUGCUAUAGGAAUACCCAGAAGGAAUGACUACCCUGAUGAAAACUUCCUGGAGAAAGAUGAGUUUUGAGGAUAUGCAGAAAGUGGCUAAAAGGAGAGUGUGAGGAAAGGUAUUCUGUGCAGAGAGAGUAAUAGUACGUGCAAAGGCAUGAAGAAAGGCAGAGUAAACAUUUGAGGAUUCCUCUAGGUCCAGUGCAGAGAAAAAAAAUAAAAGGCAAAAGAUGUGUUUGCAGCAAUAGGCAGGAAGUAGAUCACAAAGGACUUUGAUUUCAACUAGGACAUUUUCAGCAGCAGAAGGGCAUGGCUGACUUUGCCUUUUAGAAUGGUCCUUCUGGCUAUGAAGAAUGGAUUGGAUGGGAGCAAUUCUUGGGAAGAGAAGAUCACCUAGAGGCCAUUCUUCACCUGAGAAAUGAUAAGUGUCUGAGCUCAGGUAGAGGUAGGGAUAGGGAGUGGGUGUGUUUGAGUGACAGUAAAAAAGCUGAAUCCAUAGGCUUUGAAGACUGAUUAAGGUAAAGAUGUAAGAGCUGAAGAGAGGGAGAGAUCAGGAAGGUGCUGCCAGGUGGGUGGUGUGGACAUUUAAUGAGAUAAGAUAGAAAAGGAGGGGCAGAAUGGGAGUGGGGAAUGAUGAUCCCACGUGGACACAAAUCACAACUAUAUGGGCUUAGAGCUCAGGAACGAGGCCUGGGUUGGAGACAAGGAUUUGUUAGUCAUCACCAUAUGUGAAGCAAUUGACACCAUAGGAAACAGUGGCCCAUCCAGAGAGAGUCUGAAAACAGAAAAGGGCCCAGUUAUGUUAGUUAGUUACCCAGUUAUGAAGAAUCUUUGAAUUUUUUGAACAGAAAGCAUCUCGGGUAUAUUUCUUAUAAUUAUAGUUCUAUGUCAUGUCAUAUCUAAAAAUCAUGAAAUGGAUUAUCCUUUUAGAUUUGUCCUUUUAGAUUUUUGAAAGCUUCAAUUUAGGUUCUUGUACAGGGUAUUUGCUAUAAAGCUUAAAUGUAUUCAACAUAUUUUAAUUUCUUGGCCUUCUGAUAGGGCUUGAUAUGUUCUAAGGUGAGAGGGGACUGUCAUUUUUUUUUUUUUUUUUUUUGCCUACAGCUUUGCAUGUUGUAACAAGACUUCUUUAUCAAAGAGUUUAUUGAUGUUCAGUGUAAGCAUGUUUUAGAAGGGUAGGCUUUACUGGUACUGAAAACUGAAGGUUUUCUGGCCAUGGAGAGAAAACCAGAUUUCUCAUGGUAGACUAAUGGUUUUGUCUCCUGAGUUGGCAGGACGUGGACGUGCCAGGAAGACACGGCAUUCUGGCUUCCCAGCAGGGAAGGGGGAGCUCAUGUUAAUGGGCAGUGAGACCCGUCAGGCCUAUCUGGAAUGACAUUCCUAGAGUCCAGGCCAGAGCUCCCAUUAGAUAUGGUGAGGUGAAGCCCAUGGCACAGGAAAAGGGGAGUUAUGUAAGGUUUUCAAGAAGGCGCUUGUUGGACCAGACACCCAGAUGGUGGUGUCACAGAGCACAAAGGCAAAUGGCACGUGUGUGGCACUGGGAAGGCUAGUGCUGAGAGGCAACAGGGCAACUAGCAUUUAAGAGCUUGUUAAGAUUUAGUCAAUGUGCAUGUAAAUAAUUAAGUCGAUAAGAAAAGCUUAAAGUGAUUUUUAAUGGAAAAAAGAAAGACGGUAAUCAUCACUUUAUUUUUGGAUGUGUGUUUCUACAAUUGGUUUAGCGUGAAGAGAAAACUGAAGUCCUAAAUUCCACAUUCUGCCUGAAGAUAUCUUUUUGUCCAUGCAGAGUGAAGUCUGCAUUCUCUCUUGUGAGCUAGAAAGUUAGACAGGGCUGAAAUGGUCUCUGAAUGUUAAAUCCAUUUUUUGUGGAUGUGCGAGUCCUGAGUCUUGUCACACAUUGUCUUUGUCUUUGUUAUUUGGCCUAUUAUAACUGCAGUGGUGUCUUUUGAGGGUUUGUAUUAUGAAUAAAAGGUAGAUACUGGACCAGUGUCUCGGAGAUUUACCUGCUUAUUAUUUUUUUUCCCUUUUGGUCUUGUCAUAGCUGGAAGGUAUCAUCCUAAAACAUUUUGUGAGAAUGAGAAUUAUUGGUAUUUACUCUCUCCAUGUCAUAUGUAUUUAUAUUCUGGUCUUGUGACAUUCACACAACCUCCAAUUUAUUUGUUUUCUUCUUUUUGUUGUCAACAGAGCUGCUUGACAGGGUUGUCUGGGGAAUACAACCUUACCCUGUCAAAUGCCUUUCAAUGUUUUUCUUCUCCUUCCUUACCCCCGUUUCAUCGUGUACCUGCAAUGGGACUCUAUUUCUGAUAUUAGAAAACCACCCAAUGGAACUGAUAAAAAUGAGUUGGAACUUGUGACCAGCAGCUGGAUGAGAGGAGUGUGAAUCCCCCAAAUCUUAUGGAUAUAGUGUGCUUUCUUUGAUGUUCCUGCCAAAGUGAGGCUGGAAAGCUAGGAAGAUCUGUAAGACGUGUGCCAGCACAAAGUGACUACAAUUCAAAAGUUCCAAAAACCUUGCUUGAAACAAUUGCAAAUAGCUCAUCAUUUUAAACCAGUGAACCCAAGGCUGAGUGUUUCAUCAAUUUACAGAAAACCAAGAAGAGAAAUCUGACAGCUAUCCCAGUGUAUGACUUACCAUGGAGAUCUUCAAAUAGAAUCACUUUGGUUUGGGUCUCAUUUUCAUAUUAUAACACAAAUUUGUGUAUGUGGGUUAAGAUUCAUAUUUGAUAGGAACUGCUGGGAAUUCUUGCAGUUAUAUCCUCAAAAGACAAAAUAAGCAUAACCAACAGAAUUGUGAAGCAAUAAAGUUGAUUAUGGAUGAAAACUGGGCUGAACAGUCAUAGGACAUGACUUGUUCCUUUGACCUAAAAUGUGCUUUUCUUUCCUUAUCUACCCAGUGUAAUGGUACUACUCUUUCAACCAUCUUGAAUUCACUCACACUUAUUCGUCAAAUCCUGCUCAGCUAUUCCCACUACCCACAAAGUGUACCUUUUUCGUAUUCCUUACUUUUUAUACAUUAGCUCAUUUUCCCCCAAACAAUGCAAUAAAGUAAAAAAUAUUACUCUAUUUUAUAGAAACUUGCAGCUCAGAAAGGAUAAGAAACUUGCAAGUUGAUCCAAAAUAAAUUUCUAAAAAGCA
rnacentral:lncRNA from 1 species